UUGGAGGGCAAGUCUGGUGCCAGCAGCCGCGGUAAUUCCAGCCCCAAUAGCGUAUAUUAAAGUUGUUGCAGUUAAAAAGCUCGUAGUUGAAUUUCGGGAUCAAUUUAUCGGUCGUGCCUCUGGUAUGCACUGGUAUUAUUGAUUUCUACCUUCUGACGAACCAUGAUGUCAUUUAUUUGGUGUCAUGGGGAAUCAGGACUGUUACUUUGAAAAAAUUAGAGUGUUUAAAGCAAGCACACGCUUGAAUACAUUAGCAUGGAAUAAUGAAAUAGGACGUUUGGCCCUAUUUUGUUGGUUUCUAGGAUCGACGUAAUGAUUAAUAGGGAUAGUUGGGGGCAUUAGUAUUCAAUUGUCAGAGGUGAAAUUCUUGGAUUUAUUGAAGACUAACUACUGCGAAAGCAUUUGCCAAGGAUGUUUUCAUUAAUCAAGAACGAAAGUUAGGGGAUCGAAGACGAUCAGAUACCGUCGUAGUCUUAACCAUAAACUAUGCCGACUAGGGAUCGGAUGAUGUUAAUUUUUUAAUGACUCAUUCGGCGCCUUACGGGAAAC
rnacentral:rRNA from 1 species